rnacentral:tRNA from 1 species
GCCUCGAUGGGCCGGAGAGGCUGCCGCCGUGCUUGAAACGGGGCGCGGUCGGGGCCCCGGGUCGGGGCCCCGCCGGUCGUGCUGGCGUGGGGGUC